rnacentral:rRNA from 1 species
UACGUAGGGAGCAAGCGUUGUUCGGAUUUACUGGGCGUAAAGGGCGCGUAGGCGGCGCGGUAAGUCACUUGUGAAAUCUCUAAGCUUAACUUAGAACGGUCAAGUGAUACUGAUGUGCUAGAGUGCAGAAGGGGCAACCGGAAUUCUUGGUGUAGCGGUGAAAUGCGUAGAUAUCAAGAGGAACACCUGAGGUGAAGACGGGUUGCUGGGCUGACACUGACGCUGAGGCGCGAAAGCUAGGGUAGCAAACGGG